rnacentral:rRNA from 1 species
GACAGAGGGGGCAAGCGUUGCCCGGAAUUACUGGGCGUAAAGAGCGCGCAGGCGGUCGUUCAAGUCGAGUGUGAAAGCCCCCGGCUCAACUGGGGAGGGUCACUCGAUACUGAUCGACUUGAAGGCAGGAGAGGGAAGCGGAAUUCCCGGUGUAGUGGUGAAAUGCGUAGAUAUCGGGAGGAACACCAGUGGCGAAGGCGGCUUCCUGGCCUGUUCUUGACGCUGAGGCGCGAAGCUAGGGAGCGAACGGGAUUGAGAUAC